CUCCAAUAGCGUACGUUAAAGUUGCUGCAGUUAAAAGCUCGUAGUUGAACGUUCGGGUUCCGCGGGACGGGGCCGCCCCGCGAGGGACGGCGCCGCCCCGGGGCUCGUGAUAUCUCAUCUCGCCGCCCGUCGCGAGGCGGACGGAGGGAUGGAUGAGGUUACUUGGAAAAAAUCGGGGCGAUCUAGGCGGGCGAACCUCGCCAACGAACGAUCGGACAUGGGAUAACGGAAGAGGGCGUCGGCUCGACUUCGUCGGUUCCUCGGGGCCGAGGCACGUACGGUGAAUAGGGACGGUCGGGGCCGCCCGUACCGGGUCGUGAGAGGUGAAAUUCUAGGAUCGACCCGAGACGAACCGCCGCGAAAGCAUUCGGCAAGGACGCUUUCAUUAAUCAAGAACGAAAGUCGGGGAUCGAAGACGAUCAGAUACCGUCGUAGUCCCGACCGUAACGAUGCCGACCGAGGG
rnacentral:rRNA from 1 species